GUAGUUGGGUUGCAGCGCACUAGAGGGCAGUCCGAAGAGGUGAAAGGUCACGUUAUGUAAGCGCCGGUGACAGGCGUACGGGCCGUCCGCGGCAGAGCGAAAAGUGGGGGGCAGCAGGGGACCGAAAGGCCGAGAGCCCAGAGAGCUUCCUGAUCUACACGGCCACACUGCUGGGUGUCCCAGAGUAAAGUGUGCCGGUGUCUGCUCCAUACCUGCUUUCCCUCUGUCUUCAAGGAGAUCCUGUUCCCACUAAAAGGUGCAAAUGCAAAGCUUUCGUGUGAUGUGCAUUCUAUGACAAUUUCAAAAGUGAAAAACAGACAACACGGAUUCCUCCCUGCUGCCUGGGGCUGCGGAAGACACACAGGGACAGCACUGGCCACACGACAAUGUCAAGGCAAUCUUGGCAGCGCACUCCUGUCUAAGGGCCCAGCCCCCAGCACCCCCAGCCCUGCCUGCCCCCUUCCACAAUGAGGCACUCAGAGACCAACAAGACUAUUUCAAAUAGUUUAAUUUUAAAAAUAUUCUAUUCAGUGCUAAAAUAUGUCUUCACUCACUGUCGCUCAUUUCCAUUUUCUUAAACUUUUUUUGAAACAAAAAAUAAAAUCACAAAGUUCAAUUAAA